rnacentral:rRNA from 1 species
UAGGGAAUCUUCGGCAAUGGACGAAAGUCUGACCGAGCAACGCCGCGUGAGUGAAGAAGGUUUUCGGAUCGUAAAACUCUGUUGGUAGAAAAGAACGUUGGUGAGAGUGGAAAGCUCAUCAAGUGACGGUAACUACCCAGAAAGGGACGGCUAACUACGUGCCAGCAGCCGCGGUAAUACGUAGGUCCCGAGCGUUGUCCGGAUUUAUUGGGCGUAAAGCGAGCGCAGGUGGUUUAUUAAGUCUGGUGUAAAAGGCAGUGGCUCAACCAUUGUAUGCAUUGGAAACUGGUAGACUUGAGUGCAGGAGAGGAGAGUGGAAUUCCAUGUGUAGCGGUGAAAUGCGUAGAUAUAUGGAGGAACACCGGUGGCGAAAGCGGCUCUCUGGCCUGUAACUGACACUGAGGCUCGAAAGCGUGGGGAGCAAACAGGAUUAGAUAGCCCUGGUAGUCCACGCCGUAAACGAUGAGUGCUAGAUGUAGGGAGCUAUAAGUUCUCUGUAUCGCAGCUAACGCAAUAAGCACUCCGCCUGGGGAGUACGACCGCAAGGUUGAAAC